rnacentral:rRNA from 1 species
UAGGGAAUCUUCGGCAAUGGACGAAAGUCUGACCGAGCAACGCCGCGUGAGUGAAGAAGGUUUUCGGAUCGUAAAACUCUGUUGGUAGAGAAGAACGUUGGUGAGAGUGGAAAGCUCAUCAAGUGACGGUAACUACCCAGAAAGGGACGGCUAACUACGUCGCC